AGAGUUUGAUCCUGGCUCAGAUUGAACGCUGGCGGCAGGCCUAACACAUGCAAGUCGAGCGCGAAAACACUUCGGUGUGAGUAAAGCGGCGGACGGGUGAGUAACGCGUAGGAAUCUACCUAGUAGUGGGGGACAACUCGUGGAAACGCGAGCUAAUACCGCAUACGCCCUACGGGGGAAAGCGGGGGAUCUUCGGACCUCGUGCUAUUAGAUGAGCCUGCGUAAGAUUAGCUAGUUGGUGGGGUAAUGGCCUACCAAGGCGACGAUCUUUAGCUGGUCUGAGAGGAUGAUCAGCCACACCGGGACUGAGACACGGCCCGGACUCCUACGGGAGGCAGCAGUCGGGAAUAUUGCGCAAUGGGCGAAAGCCUGACGCAGCCAUGCCGCGUGUGUGAAGAAGGCCCUAGGGUUGUAAAGCACUUUCAAUUGGGAGGAAAAGCUAAUGGUUAAUAGCCAUUAGCCCUGACGUUACCUUUAGAAGAAGCACCGGCUAACUCCGUGCCAGCAGCCGCGGUAAUACGGAGGGUGCAAGCGUUAAUCGGAAUUACUGGGCGUAAAGCGCGCGUAGGCGGUUUUUUAAGUCGGAUGUGAAAGCCCCGGGCUCAACCUGGGAAUUGCAUCCGAUACUGGAUGACUAGAAUGCGGGAGAGGGAGGUAGAAUUCCAUGUGUAGCAGUGAAAUGCGUAGAUAUAUGGAGGAAUACCAGUGGCGAAAGCGGCCUCCUGGCUCGACAUUGACGCUGAGGUGCGAAAGCGUGGGGAGCAAACGGGAUUAGAUACCCCGGUAGUCCACGCCGUAAACGAUGUCUACUAGCUGUAGGGGUACUUGAGACCUUUGUAGCGCAGCUAACGCAAUAAGUA
rnacentral:rRNA from 1 species